GUGAAGGGAGAAGCGGGGUUGGCAGAAGGACAAGUGUGCAGCCUGGAGUCACGACAAGGUGGGAGUGCCAAGACAGCCUGGAACAGCACUGCCAUGCUGACGUCACUCCAGGAACUCGGGCACACAUACAUCUCACCAAACUCACGGAUCUGAACCAGGGCCUGUGUGGCCUCUGGAGCCUGACCCACUACCAAUGGACUGCUCUUUCAACCUUGGAGGACAAACUGCCGCCUAGGAAGAUGUGGGUACCAUGUGAGCAAGGACAGAGACUCGUCCCAGCCUCCCUCUGAACAGGGACUCUGGAAACAUCACCACCAAAAUGCCAACUGAAGGAAGCCAUCAUCCAGGCAUCUCUCCAUGAAUGUUUACUGAAGGCCUUCUCUACGCCAAGCACUGGUUUAGGUGCUGAGGACAGCAAGGAACAAAACAAAGACCCUGCCCCUCGUGAAGUUCUCUCUCACACACACACAGGCACACACGACCCCUUUUCCUUGGUCUAGCCUGGAAACACACUAGGUCCGGUCAAGGUAUCCUAAGCCAGAUCUCUAAAAACACCAGUGAGACAAAGAGGCUCUUUUUCUUUAUUUGCGAGCAGGACUUCAGGGCUCACCUCUCCUGUCCUGAACACCCAUCCCGCAGGCCCCUGGAAGGUUCUACAGUCUUCCCUGACUGCCUCCCUGACACUCACAUCCAUCAGCUUACCUGGCCGGACUACAGUGAUCUUUUCCAACUUAUAAAUACAUACUUUCUUAAACCUUUUUUUUUUAAGUGGCAGAAUCUUUAUUCAAAUCAAAUCUUCAAAGAACUUCAAUAUA